UACGAAGGGGGGCUAGCGUUGCUCGGAAUGACUGGGCGUAAAGGGCGCGUAGGCGGUUUGGACAGUCAGAUGUGAAAUUCCUGGGCUCAACCUGGGGGGCUGCAUUUGAUACGUUCGGACUAGAGUGGGGAAGAGGGUCGUGGAAUUCCCAGUGUAGAGGUGAAAUUCGUAGAUAUUGGGAAGAACACCGGUGGCGAAGGCGGCGACCUGGUCCUUGACUGACGCUGAGGCGCGAAAGCGUGGGGAGCGAACAGG
rnacentral:rRNA from 1 species